rnacentral:rRNA from 1 species
GACGAACGCUGGCGGCGUGCUUAACACAUGCAAGUCGAACGAUGCAGGAGGAGCUUGCUCCUCUGGAUUAGUGGCGAACGGGUGAGUAACACGUGAGCAAUCUGCCCUUGACUCUGGGAUAAGCGCUGGAAACGGCGUCUAAUACCGGAUACGACCCUCAGAGGCAUCUCCUGUGGGUGGAAAGAACUUCGGUCAAGGAUGAGCUCGCGGCCUAUCAGCUUGUUGGUGAGGUAAUGGCUCACCAAGGCGACGACGGGUAGCCGGCCUGAGAGGGUGACCGGCCACACUGGGACUGAGACACGGCCCAGACUCCUACGGGAGGCAGCAGUGGGGAAUAUUGCACAAUGGGCGCAAGCCUGAUGCAGCAACGCCGCGUGAGGGACGACGGCCUUCGGGUUGUAAACCUCUUUUAGCAGGGAAGAAGCGAGAGUGACGGUACCUGCAGAAAAAGCACCGGCUAACUACGUGCCAGCCGCCGCAGUAACAC